GUUAAGCGACUAAGCGUACACGGUGGAUGCCCUGGCAGUCAGAGGCGAUGAAGGACGUGCUAAUCUGCGAUAAGCGUCGGUAAGGUGAUAUGAACCGUUAUAACCGGCGAUUUCCGAAUGGGGAAACCCAGUGUGUUUCGACACACUAUCAUUAACUGAAUCCAUAGGUUAAUGAGGCGAACCGGGGGAACUGAAACAUCUAAGUACCCCGAGGAAAAGAAAUCAACCGAGAUUCCCCCAGUAGCGGCGAGCGAACGGGGAGCAGCCCAGAGCCUGAAUCAGUGUGUGUGUUAGUGGAAGCGUCUGGAAAGGCGCGCGAUACAGGGUGACAGCCCCGUACACAAAAAUGCACAUGCUGUGAGCUCGAUGAGUAGGGCGGGACACGUGGUAUCCUGUCUGAAUAUGGGGGGACCAUCCUCCAAGGCUAAAUACUCCUGACUGACCGAUAGUGAACCAGUACCGUGAGGGAAAGGCGAAAAGAACCCCGGCGAGGGGAGUGAAAAAGAACCUGAAACCGUGUACGUACAAGCAGUGGGAGCACGCUUAGGCGUGUGACUGCGUACCUUUUGUAUAAUGGGUCAGCGACUUAUAUUCUGUAGCAAGGUUAACCGAAUAGGGGAGCCGAAGGGAAACCGAGUCUUAACUGGGCGUUAAGUUGCAGGGUAUAGACCCGAAACCCGGUGAUCUAGCCAUGGGCAGGUUGAAGGUUGGGUAACACUAACUGGAGGACCGAACCGACUAAUGUUGAAAAAUUAGCGGAUGACUUGUGGCUGGGGGUGAAAGGCCAAUCAAACCGGGAGAUAGCUGGUUCUCCCCGAAAGCUAUUUAGGUAGCGCCUCGUGAAUUCAUCUCCGGGGGUAGAGCACUGUUUCGGCAAGGGGGUCAUCCCGACUU
rnacentral:rRNA from 1 species